UCACUUUAGCAGCACAUAUACUAAAACUGGAACAAUACAGAGAGGAUGAGCAUGGUCUCUGCACAAGGAUGACACACAAAUUCGUGAAGAAUUACAAAAAAAA